ensembl:snoRNA
GCUGGCAUAGUGAUGAUGACCCUUUGCCGUUUACCCAACUGAAGGAUGUGAUGAGCAGUGUUGUAUAUCUGAUGUGCCAGC